rnacentral:rRNA from 1 species
AAGAAGGCUGGUGAAAAACCAGCCCACCGAAAAUUCAAGGUUUCCUGGGCAACGAUGAUCGACUCAGGGUUAGGCGAUCCUAAGCCGAGGCCGAAGGGCGUAGGCGAUGGACAAGCCGUUAAUAUUCGGCUACCAGUUGGAAGGCGUCUGAACGAAGGGGAGACGCAGGAGGGUAGAGCAUCCCCGUGAUGGAUCGGGGUCUAAGCCUUUAGGAGGGCAUGGGAGGCAAAUCCCCUGUGCCGUUAACUCUGAGGGGUGAUGGGGAGUUCCGAAAGGGACACAAACUGCUUGAUCCCAGGCUGCCGAGAAAAACCUCGUAGUGAGCCUUUUAGCUGACCGUACCGCAAACCGACUCUGGUAGGUGGGUGGAAGACACCAAGGCGAUUGAGUGAUCCCUCGCUAAGGAACUCGGCAAAAUAGCCCCGUAACUUCGGGAGAAGGGGUGUCCCGAUGAAUAAUCGGGAUCGCAGUGAAGAGGCUCUGGCGACUGUUUACCAAAAACACAGGUGCCUGCGAACUUGAAAGAGGAUGUAUAGGCACUGACGCCUGCCCGGUGCCGGAAGGUUAAGGAGAGGUGUUAUUUCCCGACUUGUCGGGAGAGAAGCAGCGAACCGAAGCCCCGGUAAACGGCGGCCGUAACUAUAACGGUCCUAAGGUAGCGAAAUUCCUUGUCGGGUAAGUUCCGACCUGCACGAAUGGCGUAACGACUGGAGCGCUGUCUCGGCGAGGGGCUCAGCGAAAUUGUAGUACCGGUGAAGAUGCCGGUUACCCGCGACUAGACGGAAAGACCCUGUGAACCUUUACUAUAGCUUGGCAAUGGACUUUGGUGUGUGAUGUGUAGGAUAGGUGGGAGGCUAUGAAGUGGGGGCGCUAGCUCUCAUGGAGCCGACGUUGAAAUACCACCCUUCUUAGACUGGAGUUCUAAUCCUCAUCCAUUAGGCUGGAGGGGAGACAUUGCCUGGUGGGUAGUUUGACUGGGGCGGUCGCCUCCUAAAGGGUAACGGAGGCGCCCAAAGGUUCCCUCAGGCUGGUCGGAAAUCAGCCGUUGAGUGCAAAGGCAUAAGGGGGCUUGACUGUGAGAGAGACAUCUCGAGCAGGUGGGAAACCAGGGCUUAGUGAUCCGGUGGCACUGUGUGGAAGGGCCAUCGCUCAUCGGAUAAAAGGUACUCCGGGGAUAACAGGCUUAUCGCGCCCAAGAGUUCAUAUCGACGGCGCGGUUUGGCACCUCGAUGUCGGCUCAUCGCAUCCUGGGGCUGAAGUAGGUCCCAAGGGUUUGGCUGUUCGCCAAUUAAAGCGGUACGAGAGCUGGGUUCAGAACGUCGUGAGACAGUUUGGUCCCUAUCUGUCGUGGGCGUAGGAUUUUUGAGGGGAGCUGUCCCUAGUACGAGAGGACCGGGAUGGACGGACCUCUAGUGUGUGAGUUGUCCCGCCAGGGGCAACGCUCAGUAGCUAUGUCCGGAAGGGAUAACCGCUGAAGGCAUCUAAGCGGGAAGCCCACCCCAAGAUUAGAGAUCCCGUCAGCAAUGACCUGAAGGCCACCUGAAGACUACAGGUUUGAUAGGCUGGAAGUGUAAGGUCGGUAACGACUUCAGCUAACCAGUACUAAUCGGCCGUGCGGCUUGACCC